AAAAGGUGGCAGAGAGAGAAAAAGAAGACAGAGGAAGGCUUACCUCUACAUGAGGGGCUAGACCAUGGAGUGUCCCUUCAACCUCAACUGACCUGUGAUAUGGCUCAUGAUACGGCUUAUUCGUUAUGUUCCAGUUUCCAGGCUAAUUCUAUGUUCAGAAGCCUAGUGAAUGAGUCAAUGCAAUGAUUAAUCAGCUUCCAUGUUCAGAAUUACUGAUAGCUCUGGCCUUCCUAAUAGCUCAGUGAGUGUGAACGUUAUGAUAUUCUACCCUCACAGAGUUCCUGAGUACUGAG
rnacentral:lncRNA from 1 species